AUGAAGGAUACGGUGUCCACGGACGCCGCCGCCCUCGGCCAAUACAAGAUUGGGCAAGUGAUGAACCCCGGCACGCCCACCCCUCUGACGCAUCCUAACACCACGAACCACCAGCGACCACUCACCCGCGUGGCCAUGGCCGCUCGCCCGCACCCGAGGCACAAGUUCUGCACACGAACGUCGUGCCUCCCACCGCCAGGGCCUUCGCCCAGCAUCCAGACACCCCCAAGACCAUCCAAAGAGAUCAACUUUGAGCCACAGGGACUCCCCCGACUGACGAACCGUAGCAUACUCCCCGCCUUGAACGUCGUCGGAGCCGCGAUGACUCGCACACGGACGGGGAAAGGGGGAGGUGGGGGAGCGGACGCAUCUGGACCGGCCCACCCCUGUGCCAGUGACGGGUGGCCCAAGCACGUCGGCGCCGCCCAUCCCUCCAGCCAACCUCCCCACCGGACACAACCCUGUGCCGCCCCACCGCAGCGGCUGACGCAGACCCGCGCAAAGCCACCUACGCAGAUCCGACCACCGGCAAGGAGGAUCCCCACGGACCACCGCCAAUCGCCGAGAAUACUCACUGGGGAGCCCAUCUACGCUGCCGCCGUCGUUCAGCCAGUGGAACGCCUGGAGCCCGACCAACACGCCCACCUACCACCGUCGCUGCGCCUCCACCACCACCAGCCGCGGCCACGGCAUGGGCGGACGCCCGCAGCUCGCGCCGCCCUCGGCCCGCGCCGCCUGGGCCCAGAUCUGGCCGACCGACGCCGCUGGAACCCACCAUGCACCACCAUCGCUGCAGCCAAUUCACACCGCCCCCCACAGCCCGCGAAUUUGUUAGGCAACAAGCUCAAUGGAUCAAUCCCCUCGGGAGUUCUCAAAAGAAUUCAAGAUGGCUCCCUGAGUCUGAGCCGUGAUUCUAGUGAUAGUAAUUGUGGAUCAAUGAGCAACUCUGUGAAGCCCCAGAAUGAGAUGACGAAGAGCUACGCACUGUCGAAUGGUGUUUGUGAGGAUGGUUCGCUCAAACUUGAGAGCCUUCGGUUCACAUACAAGGAGCUCGAGAUGAUAACGAACAACUUCCACCGAGUGCUUGGGCGGGGUGGUUUCGGUCAAGGUGUUAAAGAGUUUCUAGCAGAGAUUUUGACCCGGAUUCAUCACAGGAAUCUUGUCUCUAUGAUUGGUUACUACAAGGAUGGGGAGUACAUGGCACUUGUCUAUGAGUACAUGUCGGAAGGAACCCUACAAGAGCACAUUGAAGGUAGUAACCACAACGGAGCAUGUCUGCCGUGGACACAGAGACUCCGGAUAGUACUUGAAUCAGCGCAAGGGCUAGAAUACCUACACAAGGGAUGCAAUCCUUCCCUCAUCCACAGGGACGUUAAGGCUACAAACAUCCUGUUGAACACAAAGAUGGAGGCUAGGAUUGCUGACUUUCGCUUGUCCAAGGCCUUCAGUUGCGACAAUGGCAUACAUUUGUCCACAAACACGGUCGUCGCUUCGGAGUCGCUAGAGCUAGUCACUGGAAAGCCGGCUAUCCUGCGGGAGCCAGUGCCCAUCAGCAUCAUCCAAUGGACGCGACAAGGGCUGGCACAAGGCAACAUCGAGGGUGUGGUGGACGGACCCAUGCACAGUUGUUACGAUAUCAAUGCAGUGUGGAAGCUUGCCGACAUCGCACUCAAGUGCACUGCACAAGCCUCGGUGCAGCGGCCCACCAUGACCGACAUAGUUGCACAACUACAGGAAUGUAUCGAGCUACAGAAUGGCCGCACUGAAAACACAAACAAUGGUUUCUACACUGGCACCAGCGGCAAUGAUCCGAACUUGAGUUAUGAUUCUUACGCAGUUGAUCAGUCCACUAGUGUGAGCCAGAACAACACAUCAUUUGAGAUGGAGCAUAAUUUUAUGAGGGUACCAACAAUGUCCAAAGGUCCUGCUGCACGCUGA
rnacentral:rRNA from 1 species